rnacentral:rRNA from 1 species
AUGGAGGGGAAGUGGACAAGGACUACUAGCCUUGGUCACUGCACAUUGUUCUUGACAUAUUUUUACUUUGUAGGCUGUGUUGUUCCGACGAAAGGAAUGACAUGCUUUUCAGGUUAUUACUUUGCAAGUUCCCUUGGUCCAGAUCAUCCAGGAGUUCGAAGGGACUGCUUAUACUUCACAGAUGCCAAAAGGAAGUGGAUCGAGUAUUCCUUGGCCGAUGGAUCUUGUGAUGAAUUUGUUGCUGAGAACUUAGAGGGAGCUGGAAGGCCUGAUUCCGAUUUUAGGGCACCUGUUUGGGUCUUUCCGAGCAUGUGUUGA